GAUGAACGCUGGCGGCGUGCCUAAUACAUGCAAGUCGAGCGAAGCGGGGACGGGUGAGUAACACGUGGAUAACCUCCUAUAAGACUGGGAUAACUUCGGGAAACCGGAGCUAAACCGGAACCUUAUAGAUGGAUCUGCGCUGCAUUAGCUAGUUGGUAAGGUAACGGCUGACCAAGGCAACGAUGCCUAGCCGACCUGAGAGGCUGAUCGGCCACACUGUAACUGAGACACGGGCCAGACUCCUACGUGAGGCAGCCGUAGGGAAUCUUCCGCAAUGGGCGAAAGCCUGACGGAGCAACGCCGCGUGAGUGAUGAAGGUCGUCGGAUCGUAAAACUCUGUUAUUCGGGAAGCGUUACCUAAUCAGAAAGCCACGGCUAACUACGUGCCAGCCGCCGCGGUAAUUC
rnacentral:rRNA from 1 species